rnacentral:lncRNA from 1 species
GAAGGGGGGACUUUGAAGGUGAGAACAUUUAACUGAAGAUCUGAUGAAGUAAUAUUUUAUAAAAAAUAAACUAUUUUAUACUGUAAGUUAUUAUGAGCCAAUGCUUGCCCUUCAGUUGCACCCUAGGCCGAAACUAUCUUUGCAGCCACCCUGCAAUAUAGGUUGUCUCAUCGUGGCUUGAGGAAGGAUGUGGAACUUCUCACAACAUCACAAAGCACGUGUUGCACCAUUGGACAUUUACAAUUUUUAAGUGGUUUUGCUUUUUACUGAACUCAAAUAUGUUUUCCAUUUAACACCCACUGGAACUAGUUUUUCUUUCUGUGAACAGAAAUUGCCAAUUGUUCAUCAAAAUCUUAAUUGUCUUAUUUUGCAAAUUGAUGCCCCUAUAAGGCCUGGCCCAUAAAAUCCUCGGGCAUGAGUGCCCUCAUACUUAUUUCUCUGUCAGCUGAAUCCAGACGAUGAUGCAGCCCUAGCAGCAGAACCACAGAAAAACUUGGAAGGAGUUCUGGAUCCCAGAAUUACCAAGGGAAGGAGCAACUAGAAUACAAGGCAGAGAAGCUGAGAAUGAUGAAUUGUAAUUGGUAAACGCUUUGCCACCUGAAAAAGAUCAGCACAGCCACCCUGGGACAAAGGUGGGGCACUGGUGUGCUUCUCCCCAUGCACUGUAUUACCAGGGUCUAGGCACCCAAUGGCUGCAUAUGAGAACGCUACCCAGCCAUUCUAACCUUUUUUUUUUUUUUUUUUUUUGAGACGGAGUCUCGCUCUGUCGCACAGGCUGGAGUGCAGUGGCGCAAUCUUGGCUCACUGCAAGCUCCGCCUCGAACAGAAUGACAUUGUGCUGCAGCUGAGCACAUUAUGCACAGAGAUA